ACAUUGCGAAAGAACGUAUACAGCUAUAUCACUUUCGUCCAAGUCCCCCGUAAAGCUGAUAAUGAUAAAAAAAAUGCGUCAUUUUAUGCUCCUCAGUACGUGUGUCGAUUAUCAUGACGAUACGUUGCUGAAAAACGAGUUCUAUCUGUCUCUCAAUUUGCACGUUGAUUUCGAAUUUUGAUUUUGGCAAAACUGACUGAAAUUGCAUUAUAGAUUUGGUGAUUUGUGUACACGUGUUGAUCGUUUUGUCUAGUCGAAUUUCACCAGCGAAGAGAGUAGACCUAUAGUCGAAAUGGUUCAAAGUGAUUUAUAUUGUGAUGUUUUUGUGACGUUUGCAUUGUCUAUUUUUUUGCUGACUAAGCAGGGUAAUUCACCCGGAUGAUCCCUGCCAUUGGCUUAUCGAAGUAUCGAUGAUUCUUCGUCGCAUCUUUAUCAUAAUAGGUUCCCGAUGAUAGAGGAAACUCUAGUACGAAAUUUUCAGUCUGUUUUUACCCGUCUGACGUGCUCGGUGUUUUGAAUAUCCACUCACAUUCAUCUAUUCUUGCGUCAUUAACUGUCAAGUCGAGGAACGCGUUUAGAUUUCUUUGAAUUUGUCUUUUUCUGCUUUGCUGCCGCGUUGUGCAUUUUUAAUAGGCCGACAGCAAAGUGAAAAAGACCGAUUCAUAGUUAUGGGAUCAUCGUAAUAAUGCCAGAAGAGUAUUUUUCCUCUUUUAAUAAUAUUUGCUUUCGUGUACUCGACAGUAUUUUAAGAUUAAAUUGAAUUUUUUUUUAGACGUGUCAAGAUUUUAAAGACUUAUUUUGAUUUUUUAUUGUUAAAUUUAGAUAAGAAUUCGAAUUUUUUUUUUCAUCGUCUUUGUAUAAAUAGACAUUAUUUUGGUUCGUAUUUUAAGCUUGGUAAAGAAAACUUCUCAUCGUGAAUACGAUAAAAAAAUUUCAAUUACUGAUAAACCUUUUGACGUAUUUAAUUACCAAAAUUACAGCCAAUUCAUCGAGUUAUCUAGUCUUGUAAUUUUACGCAAAAAAAUAAUACUUAAUAGAACGCCACGUUGUUCGAAUAUAAAAUUACUUGCAUAUUUAAAAUGUAUUUUGCGAAUGACAUUUUUUCGUUGGUAAUGCGACGAAUAGAUUUCUCAAAAUUAUUUUGUUGACGUACAUUUUGGUUAGAAAAAUAUAACAACAUUAUUUAAUAGGUUUUUUCACAGUUUUACUGUUGUUUCUCUCUUCACUCCGUGUUCCUUUUUAAAAUUCAUGUAAAACGAAAAUUUGUUUAUAUUAUUGUAAUCAUUCCAAGUGGAUCACGUAAAAUUACCAAUCGUAAAUCUUUUUCUCGCUUUUCCUCAGUUUUCACCUGUGUUUUUCGACUCGUUUCUCUUCCUCUUACUCUCCUCCAGGCUCGACCUUUGUGUUUACCGAAUUAAUUAUUUAGUUGCUACGUCUGCGUUAUUUAUACUUUUAGAUUUAAGUGCAGUGAACUUGUACUAGAAAAUGUCUCGAUCAAGAUAGCUUUAAUUGCAACAGUAAUUUUAAUUCUAAGCAUUAGAUCGAACGAUUGUGAAAUACUCGUACGUACGACCUUACACGGUUGUUUUUAUGUACCUACCUUACCUACAUAAAAGAAAGAAUGGCUGUUUGAAAAUUUGGCCAGUAUUUUAACUUGAACUAGAAUUAUUACUAGAUUGGUAUUUUUUUAUCUGAUUUAAAAACAUUUCAAUAAUAUAAAUUGAACGGAAUUUCGAUUUGGAAAAUUUAAUCAAUUUUUCAUUAGCAAAUAUCAUCGAAUUGAUUAUUAAAAUUAAAUUUGAUAGAAAUUUAGGUAGGUAAGUAUUAUUAAAAUUCAUACAGAGUCGAGAUAUUAGAUUAUUUUUUAUGUUAAUUUCACCAUUUAUAACUUUGUAUUAUGAAUAAAGCGAUUAUUGAGGAUGGAUUUAGGAUUUUUAAUGGAAAUAGAUUUUGGAAUUUUUUCUUAAUUUUUUUUUUAUAUAAUACUAACCUAGAUAUCUUCAAGAAUUUUCACAGCGUCAGAAAAAUAGAUAAUAAGUGUAAUUGAAAAAUCCAUUUCAAAUCAAUAUUUUAUUAUUACUUUUUCACGAUGAUAAAAUUGUUUAAAUAUUUAGAUAGGUAUCACUAAUGUUCCUUUUUGCAGAUAAUAUGAAUGAAUUUAAAUGAUUUACAAAAAAAAAAAAUUAAAUCCACGAUCUAACUCUGAUUCUAGGAUUACAUGUAGAUAAGUUCAGGUAGUUGUCGUGUUGCAUUGUAUUCAUAUUAAUGAGAGGUAUUGUUUUCAACUUGAAACAAUAUUCAAAUCAGCAGAUUCGUAAGUCAAUGUUGCAAUCAUUUCUACGGAACCAGUUAGAUAAUUUAUUUCUUGAGCUAACGUCACAGCAAAUUUUUUUAUUAAAGUUGCAUUUUAAAAUGUUCCACGCUAUUGAAGUUUUUUUUUAUGUGUAUAUUUUACUCAACUACGUGGCAUCGCAUAAGUAUAGAUAUAGGUAGAGCUUUUUUUUUUUAUUGAGUCAUUCUAUGAUAAAAAAUAAGUACCUAGUCGUCGUUUAGAAUUUUACAUUGGUUCUUAUUUAGAUAGGUUGUUGUUCGUAGUAUCGUUUGAAUGGUGAUUUCUUACCUGGAUCCAAUUUUUGAAAAUAAAUUACUUUAAGCAGAUAAUUUUACGAGGAAUCCAAAGAAAAUUGUUUAUUUCAAUGCCAUUGCCAAGUACAAAGUAAAUAAUUCAUGGUGAGUAUUUUUGGGAUAUUUUUAUUGGGUUUGGAAACGUGGCUAAAUUGGUUAAAGGUGGUAAAUGGUGCACUUGAAGGCCAAGAAUAAUGCACCUUCCUCACCAAAUGUACUAUUGACUGAAAAAUUCUAAACUAAAAAUUUUUCUCAACCUAGAAAAACGAUUUUUUGGAUAAAAUAAGGCUCUUAAAAAAAGUGAAGGGAAUCAAAAUUGUGAAGCAAGGAACUUCCAUUCAAAAGAGUGAGGUUCAAUUUCUUCUAGAAAGAAUUUUUUUUGAGAUAAUGAGACCUGAAGUUGAAACUUUCAAGUUGAAUCAGUUGUUCGCGAUAUAAUUUGGAUUUUUUAUUUUGCUCGUAUUGUUUUUUUCAACGCUAAAAAUCGGUUUUUGAUUUAAACUAACGAGGGGAGUGCUUUAAACAGUAAAAAAAUUUGAACAAGUACCUAAAAGAUCAAUCAAAGAGCAUCCGAAAAUACAUCUCAGGCCAAAUUACAGAGGUUGAACUUCGUGUAUAAAUGUUUAAUGAAUUUUUUAAAAUUUCAAAUUUGGCUCAUAAAUAAAAAUUGAUAAAAUUGAAAUAAUUAGUCGAAAUUUAGUUUGUACACUAGAUAUUUUCAACAUCGCGAAUCGAUUGAUGGCGGUUUCAAGUCAUCUUUUUGGAGCCUCCAGAGAUUUCUGUUUUCUGUGUUUUUUUUUUUAAUUUUGGAAAAACUGUCACGCAAAAUCUUGGAUACAUGAAGUGACUCUCAUUCAAAUGUAUUCUGAGAGUGAAAAAAAUGGGAAUUUUUAGAAAAGCAGAGGAGUGAAAAUUAUUGAUCAAUGCGAUCAUUUACUUUGAUUAAAUCUUCUUAUCUACCUAUCGCCUAAGUUCAUCUACUUCGUAUUUAAUUCAUAAAAAUUUAAGUUAAAGUUUUUUCCAGGGUGAUAAAAGCGAACUUCAUUUUUUUUUAAUUUUGAAAGAGAUUUGGAACUGAAAAGAAGAUCUUUUCGCUGAAUCAGAGAUUUUAUAGGUAGUCUAGUACUUUUUUUUAUACCAUUUUUGGACUCAGCAAAAAAAAAAUUGAACAAACAUCCAAAAAUACACACACGGGCCUUUCAGUCAUAAAUUUAAUUUUUCAAAUUUUUCAAUUUUCUAUAAAAUUGUCUCCAGAAUUUUUUUAAAAGGAAAAAUUCAAUGCAGGAGCAUAAAAACUGAAAUGUGGUCUGUCUAUAUUCAGUUUAUGAUCUUCAAACUCGAAUUCUCUUCCACAAGUAGGUAAUAUUUGAACAAAAUUUUAGUGUUUUCACAUAUUCGUGUCGUCAGAUGGAUUUCAAACUUUUUGUGCGUACGUGCUUAUAAUUAUUUCCACUCCUCGUAUUACUCAUUUCAUCGAGAUCUACUAGUACACGAUUAGGAGAAUAAUUAGUCACUUCCGUUUAGUAUCAUCCUGCAUCAAAAUCCAUCUGGCGAUCAUUCAUAUGCGAAAAUCCCCAACGAAUCCGAGUAUCUUAUCAUCAUGAUAAACUUUUCGUUAUAAUCUCGUCUUAAUCAUACGAACGAACGUAUUAACCACCAGUAAAACACACGAUUCGUUAUUCAAACGACCAUAAAUAUUUUAUUACAAAUUAACAACAUAAUUACAUAUUAUCAAUUAUAACACAUCGGUUUUCAAAAAGAAGAAAAAAGAGAAAAAAAACUGUGGUUAAUUUAUAAUUAAUACAACAAGAAAUUUUCUUUUAUCACAAUAAUACAUAUAAACAAUUUAUAAUACAUGGAAACAUUUUUUCUAUACACAUUACAAAUUAACAAACACAACAAUGUACAUGAUAAAAAUGGUAGGGUGGGCGGAAUGUUAUAAACAAUACGCGGGUACUUACAGAAUAAAAAUUUAUAUUUGAUAAAUUAAAAAUUCCAUUAAAAAAAUCAUUUAUCGACUCCAUGUCGUUUGUACGUCGAGAUCUCACUAUAAUUAAAAAAAUAUUUUUCUUUUUUUUUACACACACGUUUCGUCGUUAUUUUUCCAAAAUACGCGCGAAAAAAAUAACGGUAAUAAAUAAGUUACAAAAAAUAUAACAAUAAAUAGAUUCAUUACAAAAGAGAAGAAAAAAAAUAUCGUAAUAAUAACAUUCAGGUAAAAUGAUAAUAAAUUUUCAUAAAAAUGUAAAUUUUUCGUCAUAAUGAACAAUUUAGUAGGCAUGCUAACCUACGUAAAAUAAUGUCAACAUUCCACUCGAUCGAGAUAAAAAAAAAUAACUAGUUAUACGUUUCGAGAGGAAAAUAAAAAAUAAAGAAGACUUUUGAUUCGGUAGAA